CGAAGGGGGCUAGCGUUGCUCGGAAUCACUGGGCGUAAAGCGCCCGUAGGCGGACUCUUAAGUCAGGGGUGAAAUCCUGGAGCUCAACUCCAGAACUGCCUUUGAUACUGGGAGCCUUGAGUUCGGGAGAGGUGAGUGGAACUGCGAGUGUAGAGGUGAAAUUCGUAGAUAUUCGCAAGAACACCAGUGGCGAAGGCGGCUCACUGGCCCGAUACUGACGCUGAGGUGCGAAAGCGUGGGGAGCAAACAGG
rnacentral:rRNA from 1 species